UUAUUGUUGAUUGGUUUAUGAACUGAUUAGAAAUAAAUAUCGAAGUGGUUGAAGUUCAGGUGGGGUUGGAGUUUAAGUCACUCGCUUAGUUUAUGGAUGCUAUAAAAGAGCAUGCUUUGUUGAAUGGAAAGGAUAAUAGAUAUGUGUCACCUAAAUAUGCAAGCACUGGUAUGCUUAAUGAGUGUAGUGAUAUGUAUAGCUUUGGAGUUCUUCUCAUGGAGAUAAUUACAGGAAGAUCCCCCAUUGAUUAUUUUAGUCCUCCUAGAGAGAUGAAUUUGGUUGAUUGGUUUAAGGGAAUGGUAGCAAAACAUCGUGGUGAAGAGUUAGUG